rnacentral:tRNA from 1 species
GCUGAUAGGGCUGCUAGGGCAGGUUACUUUGAUAUAGUAAAUUGUGAAUUAUAAAUUUCGUUAGUA